UGGGGAAUCUUGGACAAUGGGCGCAAGCCUGAUCCAGCCAUGCCGCGUGAGUGAAGAAGGCCUUCGGGUUGUAAAGCUCUUUUACCAGGGACGAUAAUGACGGUACCUGGAGAAUAAGCCCCGGCAAACUUCGUGCCAGCAGCCGCGGUAAUACGAAGGGGGCUAGCGUUGUUCGGAAUUACUGGGCGUAAAGCGCACGUAGGCGGAUUGUUAAGUCAGAGGUGAAAUCCCGGAGCUCAACUUCGGAACUGCCUUUGAUACUGGCAAUCUAGAGUCCGGAAGAGGUUAGUGGAAUUCCCAGUGUAGAGGUGAAAUUCGUAGAUAUUGGGAAGAACACCAGUGGCGAAGGCGGCUAACUGGUCCGGUACUGACGCUGAGGUGCGAAAGCGUGGGGAGCAAACAGGAUUAGAUACCCUUGUAGUCCCUGAGCGGGCUGGCAAGGCGCAU
rnacentral:rRNA from 1 species